AUGACACAUUUCAUGAUAUAUAUAUAUAUAUAUAUAUAUAUAUAUAUAUAUAUAUAUAUAUAUAUAUAUAUAUAUAUAUAUAUAUAUAUAUAUAUAUAUAUAUAUAUAUAUAUAUAUAUAUAUACAUACAUAUACAAGUCCAGCACAUUUCAUGACAGGGAUUUGCUUGUUCUUUCAUGGCUCAUCUUCUCCCAUAACCUGUUUUCUAACCGUGUGACUGUCAUUUGUUCUCUGUUUCAGCAAGAGGACCCUUCUCUCUCCCACCGCAUGCAUAGUAUCCGGAGCAUAAACCAGGACCCUGCUGGACUUCAUGAUGACCCUGUCCAGCCUCUCAGUGAUGCUGCUGCAUUGUCAAAACAUCAAAGAAUAGAUGACUCCAUUCCUGGACCGGGACGUUUCCAACCUGUUCUCCUCUUCCAACCCCCCACCUCUCCACUCACCACAACUGGCCAUGGCAGAUGACUAUUCAACAGGAGUCUUGUUCUGAUUGCGGUCCCUUCCAUUAAACAGCUACAACUGCAGCUUUGUGCUCCUACUGUGAUCCUUCCUGUAGAUUUGCUUUUGAGAACAUUUGUCUUAAUUUUGUAACAUAUUACCGUAAGGGACCAAAGAGUGUGUGGAUAAAUCAUUCAACUUUUGGUCGGACAUUAAGGUCAAUACUAAUGAGAGAGUUCAGUUCACUUUAAAGCUUUUCUUCUUGAUGGUUUGCACAUCUGGUGGGUUUGAAUUACACAUGGUUCAUCAGGAAAUAUUUUGGUCCUGUUAGUAAAGCCACACAACUGUUCUAGUGCAGUGUAUUUAUUAUGUUAAAAGCUACAUGUCUGAAAAUUCAGGAGAGGUUGAUGGUUGCAAAAAACACACAAUCUACUGCUCCGAAGCAAUCGCUUAUGUUUGUCAUUUUCUAUAUUAUCAAAGCAUACAGCUAAUUUAUGAUACUGUCAUUGUCACUUUAUUUGCGCGCUAUGACAUGCAUGUGAUACAUACUAAGAGAUUCAUAGUGUUACUUAUGAAAACGGUGAAGAAAAUUCAAGCCAUGGAUUCAGGUAGGUCCACUCAAGUCCCUGUGCCCUUUGCUGUCACCUGCUGCUGUCCAGAACGGUUGACAUCUGGCCCAGUUACCACGAGGGAACUUGCAGGUAACUUCACCGGGGCGAAAGUUUAAUAAUAAGAAAACCUUUAAUAGUCCUGCAGUUGGGAAAUUACUUCUCACAACAGCAGUACAGAUAAGCGAGAGUACAGCUACAGAACAGUUUGUGUUGGCACAGUACAAAGCAGUACAGUUGGAGUGAGUAUGAGGUCAUUGCAGGGUUAUUGCACAGUAAUGGGUAUAAGAUUUGUACCGGUAACAAUAUACAUGAUUGUUUACAGAUUUACACAAAUGUUGUGCAGAGCAGGUUGCUACAUAAACCACUGAUACAGUACUAAUUGUACAGUCUGACAGCAGCAGGUAGGAAGGAUCUACGAUAUCUCUCCUUUACACAGCGAGGGUGGAUCAGUCUGCUACUGAAGCUGCUCUCCAGAGCAGACAGUGAGUCCUCCAGUGGGUCAGAGUCCUGGUCCGUGAUGGAUGUCAGUUUAGCCAGGACCCUUCUCUCACCCACCUCCUGCACCGUGUCCAGAGUGCAGCCCAGGACAGAGCUGGACUUGUUGAUGAUCCUGUCCAGUCUCUUCCUGUCCCUCACUGUGAUGCUGCUGCUCCAGCAGACCACACCGUACAGGAUGGCCAAUGCAUUUUCAUUCUUUAAUGAACUAUGCACAUUUGGCUAAGGUGAAGACUUUAUAGUUUAUAACAACAUACAUUAAAUUAUUUUAGGAGUCCUUCUUGCAAGCAAGUCCAAUUAACUGAAUGCCCAAUUAAAUCCUGUACUUAUUUACAGGCAAUAUCAUUCAUGUGUCUGCUGCUCAGAUUACACUGUGCAGGUAAAGAGACACAAAAUAACAGCACCUCUUGGUGCACUUCCUUUGUAGAAAGCAAGCACAACUUACUCUUCACACACCCCACAAAGCACUGCUCAUUGAUGGUCAUUCCUACACACAAUCCCCUAACUUGCGGUGUACCACACAAAACAGAAGAAUAGGAGUGACCCCUAAUGAUGAACAAUUUUUUGAUGAGGCUCUUCUUGUUGACAUUAGAGACUAAUCUUUGCGUUUACUUUCAAAAUUUUUAUAUUUUAAUGUUAUUUUUAAUCACUGAAUGCUCUAAAAUAAAAAUAAAAAUUAUAAACUCA
rnacentral:lncRNA from 1 species